CCGGCCGAGUUGUACUUUGCAGAGGAUGUCUUGGAAUCUGUCCCAUUUAAAGUCCUUUGGAACAGGGCGUCAUGGAGGGUGAAAAUCCCGUCUUUUUGGCAGACAGUUUCCGUGUAAGACUCCUUCGAAGAGUCGAGUUGUUUGGGAAUGCAGCUCUAAGUGGGAGGUAAAUUUCUUCCAAAGCUAAAUACCGGCUAGAGACCGAUAGCGCACAAGUAGAGUGAUCGAAAGAUGAAAAGCACUUUGAAAAGAGAGUUAAAAAGCACGUGAAAUUGUUGAAAGGGAAGCUGAUGUCAUCAGACAUGAUUCUGAAGUUCAGCCUUUUGGUGUAUUCUUGAGAAUCAGGCUAGCAUCAGUUUCGGUCGUUGGAUAAAAGUUUCGGGAAUGUAUCUCCUCGGAGUGUUAUAGCCCGAUUCAGCAUGCGACGUACCGAGAUUGAGGUCCGCUUUGAGGAUGC
rnacentral:rRNA from 2 species